rnacentral:lncRNA from 1 species
AUGCAAGGAGAGGUGUGUUUCGCACUCCUGGUGGUUUGCCUGCUACACGUUACAUUUAUUCCCGAUGUCGAAACGGCAGUUUCGGAACAAAUGAUCAAGCAGAUGAAAGAUAUGCACAAGAAGACGUGCAUGGCACGCUCUGGUGUGAAGAAAGAGGGUCUUGCGAAAUUCAUGGAGGAAGGAGUGAAUGACGAUCCGGCCUUUAAAAAAUACACUUUGUGUAUGUUGAAAAAUAUGCAAGGGUUUAAAAACGGAAAAAUAGCGAUCAAGGAUAUAGAAAACCAGGCGAAGGCAAUGCUUCCACCGCCGUUACGAGACGCCAUUUUAGAUGCCACCUCUAAGUGUAGCAAUACAGGUGGAGAUACACCAGAGGACAUUACGUACAAUUUCAGCAAGUGCAGUCACAAAGCUAAUGUCAAGAGUGUCAUGAUAAUCUGAGACUUCAUGCGGUACCAGACCGAAGGCAACUUAACUCACGCAUCGGCAACUGCUUAAGUUGGAGUUGCCUGGCUUUCAAAAUUUCUCGACUGAAAAAUGCAUUAGAAAAGAAGCAUUCCUUUAGUAAUUGUAUUGUAAAUGUGUAAUUAAAAAAUAAAUGAUUGUUUUCUUACUUUUCUGAAUUGGUAUUAUUUCUACUGAUAAGUUUGGAUGAUUUCAUCAGAAGCAUACCCGCGCGUUGGUGAAAAAGUUUAAAAAUCACAAGUAAAACCCAUUUUCUUAGAAAUCUCAAGCAAAUCAAAUUGACUCAUUAUAACAUUGAACUAUUAGCAUAACUGCAGGAAGAAGUUUUCAACGGAUAUUUUGGCACUGAAAAAAUUCUCGGAGGCCAAACAGGAGUUAUGGUGGAUUGAAUUUUGUGGUCCAAAAAUCAUGUUCGUAGGUCUAGGAUUGCCUGACAAUCUACUUUACAGGGAGU